UCAACAAGGCACGCAAUCGGGACAAACUGUGACAAUUUAACCAUCCCGGUACCUUUAUCGCCAGCGAGUCAACACAAUGAAGUACUAGUAUCCAGUGACGGAUGUCUGGAGGAGCUUUCUGCUGACAGUAACACAAUGGUUACAAUGUGCGUCCUGUCAAAGGACGAGGAAGUGAAAAGCCAUAAUCAUUUAAUCAACAAAUGUGCUUCCUGUCAUAUUUCACUUAAAUAGGACGAGGAAGUGAAAAGCCUUAUUCACUCACAAAUCAACAUGGCCAAUAUUUAUCGGACACU